rnacentral:rRNA from 1 species
UACGUAGGGUGCAAGCGUUAAUCGGAAUUACUGGGCGUAAAGCGUGCGCAGGCGGUGAUGUAAUACAGUUGUGAAAUCCCCGGGCUCAACCUGGGAACUGCAUCUGUGACUGCAUCGCUGGAGUACGGCAGAGGGGGAUGGAAUUCCGCGUGCAGCAGUGAAAUGCGUAGAGAUGCGGAGGAACACCGAUGGCGAAGGCAGCCCCCUGGGCUAACACUGACGCUCAGGCACGAAAGCGUGGGGAGCAAACAGG